CACGCGGGCCGAGGGCGCGCGACUGGGGAUGCUGGCCCGGGUUCUUUUAAGACGGGUUCUGGACACAAGCGACGGCAGCUUCCGCGACCCCCAUCAGCCCCGCCUCACUCUGGACACCGGGCUGUGAGCUCUGGGACGCGCCCAACUUGGAAAGCGUCUUGCUUGCCCAGCGCGCGCUACUUCUCGGACGAGCACCCGGCGGCGGGGCACAUGCUGCCCCCGCCCCUGCGCGCCUGCGGCUCCCGGCUCUCCCUCCCCUGCGCCGCGCUCUCGCCUCGCUUUCCGCGGGAGCCUUCCAACCGGUUCUCGGCUAGGGAGAAGGACGGGAGCGGUGGGAAGAGCGAGGGUGUAGAGAGGGAAGUUAGGGCUUUCGCUUUCUCCCCCCACUCCAGCGGCGGCGUUCGGUCCUCUGGGUGGAAUGUGCUCGCAGCAGCAGUGACGGCGGCCACAGCACGGGAGGCACCCGAGCCAUACACCCUGCAGCUGGAGAGAAAAGGAUGGCCGAGGUGGGAGAGACUAGAGUGAACCAGCAGGAGGAAGUCCCAGGGCCGCGAAGCUACGACGGAGAUCCGUCCUGGAAAAGCCUUCUCCACCCUGGGCACUUUAAGCGGCGGUGGCGGCAAACGGCAGGAGGUUGCAGACCCGACAGCGAGACUCCCUCAUUCCAGUCUUGCUCUGCCCUCCGGAGAUGACAAGUGAGAAAGAAGUGUCCGGCCGGGCCAUCCCCUUCAGUUACCAAGAAUAACUGUAAAAUGUGCUGGGAAUGCAAUGUCCUGAGAUAAGGAAGAACUGCCUGAAACAGCCUGGAUCUUAUUCCUGUACUUCCUAGGGAAUGUAACAUCUCAAGUUAAAGAGGAACUGCCCGGAACAGCCCGGGGAUUGUUCCUCUCUCCUGAGAAGGAAGAUUACCUCCAAAGCUCAUCCACUGAGUCACACUGCCCCUGUGGUGGAGGGCGGGCUGCCUUUCCAGGUUCCUCAGCUGUGGUGUAACUGAAGCAGGCACAAUCAAGACUCCAUCUGCUCGAGGCAGCUUUCUCGAACCUUGGGGAACCUACUCACAAUGGAUCACAGGCUUCUUUUGUUUUGUUUCUUGCUGCCUAUCUUGGGAAGCAAAAAUCAGCUGAGUGAAGAUGAGGAAGAAGGUGUUAAAGGUUUGAAGAAAAAAGGAAAAGGAUAUACUAAUCUAAGAGGACAAGUAAGUAGAACAUAGAUAAUGAAAAUGCUGGCCCUUAGGACUGUUGGGCCUAAAUGCUCAUAUUAUAUUGGUAGUCACAAAUUUGAACUUUCUCUAGAGCCAAUUUUUGCAUGUGUGUGCAGGCCUGGAGUAGUUGGAGAGUUGGAUUUAAUAGAAUUGAGGGUCAAGCAACUACAACCAGGGAAGAGUGGGACAAGGGAGAUAAAGGAUAUUGGCAGGGGAGCAAUUAUAAACAUGGACCAUGAUCAAAACUGGACAGGAAGGAAAAUAGAGAUAAGAGGGGUGGAAGGUUAAAAAUAGUGAAAAUGAGAUAGAAUGAAUAGGUUGUAGGUCCCUGUAAAGUUGAAGAAGUAUUAUUAUGCAGUACUCGUUAUUGAAAUGAGGUCACUAUGCUUAAGGCACAGUGAAUCCUAGAAAAUAGUGGUUUUGUUUCUCAUUAGGCAAUACAUUCCUCCUUGCUCCAGAAUGCAACAUACAUGUAUCCUUUUCUGUACUAUUUUUUAUUAAGAAUUCAUACUUAAUUCCACUGACUGCCACUCAAUUUUAAUGUACAGUAGGGAAUUCCUGUACUAUGUAUUAUGAAUCCAUUCCUUUGAAUUUCAUUUAUAAUACUUCAUGACUGACACCUGGCUUUCCACCAAGACUCAAUUUUCAUAGCAAGCCUCAUCAUCAUAAGCCCCCAAAUUAACAGGAUGAGGAGGAAGAAUUGGCAGGCUAAAGAAGAUGAUUAUAUCAAUUAAUGCAGAAAAAGCAUUUGAUAAAAUCCAAUAUUCAUUUGUAAUUAAAAACUCUCAGCAAGUUAGGGAUAGGAAUUACUUCAACUUAAUGAAGAGUGUCUUUAAAAACCUUAUUUUCAUCAGUUAUAACAAAUGUACCACUCUGGUGGUGAAUGUUGCUAAGGAGGGAAGCUAUACAUGUGUGGGGAAAGGAGAUGUGUGAGCAAUUUCUGUACCUUCUACUCAAUCUUCUGUGAGACUAAAAUUGCUG
rnacentral:lncRNA from 1 species